rnacentral:lncRNA from 1 species
CUUGUCCUCAGUAACUUUCAGUCGUUCAUGACAUUAUCUGUGGCCUCCACAAUGCGGUGCACUGGCGCCGUCAACUAUUGGAGAAUGUCGGUAGGUCCCGAAUGUCUUUCCUUAUCAGGAUUGGACUUCCUCCCCGCCGCUCAAACUAUCCAGCCCUCCCGUGUUUCAUACACGCUUCCUGGAGGAUAACUACGGAGCAAGCAAGCCGGGGAGGCAGAAUGAGGUAUACAUAUCUAUGUGAAGGAACAUGGACCCUUGAACUGAAGGAAUGACAACCCCCUGGCACAAUCUAGUAACAUUGUUGAGUUUUUAUCUGUUCUGUUUGGUUUUCCAUCUCUGUCUAUGAUGGAAAACAACUGAUUAUGGGGCAUUUUUCAUUCAGAUGACACUUAGAAUUGGACAUUGACCGCGUAGCUAUCUCACUACUGUAAAUAUUUAAAUUCUACCUUGACACACCUUUCUCCUGCCUCCACAUAUCUCUCAUUUCUGUGGAAGACCGGGACGUUUGACUCAGCACUUAACACGCAAUAUUCCACCACAAUCUAGUGCUAAGUAAAUUGCUAUAGCCUCCUUGCAAGACCAAGGUGUGUUCAUUUUUGUCUGAUUAAUAGUUUUAUGUAUUGUUUUAUUUUGUUAUUUAAACUCUUGUUUGACAUGUAGCCGUCAUUUCUAAACUGCACUUUAUUGAUAAAUAUCAAGAUCAUUUCAAACUGUAAUUUAAGCAUAUAUUUGAGUUAUAUUUUUUUAAUCUUUAGGGGUAUAUAUAUAUUCUGUUUUAAUUUUAAACUGGAAAAGUAUAUCGUUUCUGUUUACAAGCCUUGUCUGUCGAUCAUUCCGAAAUGGACAAACCUAGAAUCUGAUAGCAUUUAAGGACAAGGCAGACAUAACCUGGAAUUGACAGAUCUAAGAUCUAUCCUUGUCUUCGGGCAUUUGCGUUAUGAAGGCUGGUGUUUUUCAUUGUUUUUAUGUUCCUCUGUUGGAUUGACACACUAAAGAAAAGAAUCUCCAUCUGAAGGCCAGUGGGAGUUAUUUUUCUUGGAUCGUACAAUACUUCUUUGAGUGCAGAUGGAUUUCACAUGUCAAACUCAGAGGUGCUUUUGUGGCGUUGCCUUUGCAUUUCAAGCACUGAAGUGGAAGAAUGAUUUUAAGGAGGUUUCAGGGAUAAAUAACUUGUGUUUUAGUUUUUAAGACAGACUGACAGGUCUAUAGUUAUAUUUUGGUUUUCCUAGCAGAUCCUAAGGAGAGGUGCUUCCAUUUGAUUCUCCUUUAAGGUGGCCAUCAGUGGCCAAAUGAACUGACAUGUUGUAUCACUACCUGAAUUUAAACAGACUUCAUCCAUCCAACAAACUGCCAACUGCAUGAAACACUCACACACCGUCCACCUGUCAGGAAACAGACCUUACCUACCCUAAACCUGAGGGUUGGAAGUCCUCUCCCCG